rnacentral:lncRNA from 1 species
GGCCGAGCGGAAGUGGGCCGGCCUGCGGGCCUUUUUGGCUGGGCCUCUCCCGGCUGUUUUUUGUUUUCUUUUUCCUUUUCGAGUUAAAAAUGCUUGAUAUUUGAAUUUGUGUAGAAAAUUGUGUGCUAAUCCAAAAAUGAUGCAAAUUUGUGUAUAAGUUCUAUGAAAUGAGUAAAGCACAGGAAAAUUAGUAGAUUUUAUUUUCUGAUGGUUUGCAUAUAUUUAAAAAUUACCUCUUUUAUUUAAUGAAUCAAACUUCUAGGAAUUUUAGAAAUUUAUUAGUAUGCCCAAAAAUCACCAAACUUUUUGGGGAGUCUCUGAAUACUAUUCCCUGUCUCCACACAAAAUUUGGGAUCUUUUGGAUAAUGUUUGAAUAAAAUAUUAAUAAACCCUUAUUUAGUAAUUAAAUAAUAAUUCUAGAAUAAUUACAUAAUAAUUAGUUAAUUGCUCAAGACUAGGAUUUGAGUGAUUUUGGAAUUAUGAGAUGACCUAAGGUCAUUAACCUUAAUGGCCUUUGGCAUUUAAUUAUUGUUUGACCUUAAUGCUUAAUUACUGUCAUUAAUAAUUAAUUAACAAUUAAUUAAGGUAAAUAGGUUUAAUAAUUAAUUAGUUAAAGAUAAUUAUGAAUUAAG